AAGAGCUACUGUCUGAUCGAUACGUGAUGCUUUUUGGUUUUUCUUGUCUUGUGAGCUCUUGGAUUUGAGAGAUUGGGGGAUGAUAAAACUGCUUCCAUCGCACAUCUUUAUUCACCGUUGUUGAGCUUUUUAUGCUUCGAUGUAAUUCCUGGAAGUUGGUUCCCUAUAAUUAGGAUAUUUAUGACCUGGUUUCAUGGUAGAACUAAAGCAGCGUUAUUGCAUCCCAGCUCUGCGUCUCCCCAUCUCUCUGAAGUCUUGAGUUACUCGUAGGUUUUUGGUCUCCAGUGUCGACACUCGCUGGUUGGCUUUUCCUGUUGACGUUUACUGGGAAUCAGAUCAGCCCGUUCCGCCCGGUUACUGUAUGUGUGUCUGUAUGCAGAACAUAAACAGGGAUUAGUUGCAUCAGAGGCAGGGUUGCUGUAGCAAAUAACCACACAAACAUGCGGGUAAACAUAUUAACACCCGCCUCCAAGCCGCAUCAUAAGAUAACUCUGCUACCAUUAGUCACAUUGUUUGUCUUGGGUCUAUUUUAGAAAGUGUCAUGACCGGACUUGUCAGAGGCUGAGCCGUGCCGUCCUCUCUGUUGUUUCUGAGGUCCUGAUAGGGUUAAACAGGAUUUCCGUCCAGCAGCUGCUCCUCCCUUUGUCGCCUACGUCUGGCUACCAAGGAUCAAACCCUGACGAGGUCCAUCCUUUCACUUUAAAUCUGGAUUUACAAACAAUUUCAGAACCAGCUUGGUUACAGAAAGAAGGAGCAGAUGCUUUUCAUCCGGCGCAUGCAGCUCCAAGUGUUUUGCAGAAUCAUCCCUUCAUGUUCGGCUACAUCACGCUCUCUGGAAAUCAGAGUCUAACAGGCGCGUGUGCUUGGAAGUCGUGCGGUGGGCCGGGUUUCAGCGGACAUUUCGUCAUAGGAGUUACUUGAGACGCCGACGUUUGGGUCAGGUCCAGUGGGUCCGUGUUUGCCUGAAUCCUCACUGCACCACUGCUGUGGUUCCUCCUGAAGUUCCUUCCUGUUAAAAGAAGCUGUUGCUGUCCACCGUCGCCCUCUGCUGACUCAGGAUAUGUUGUUGCACCAUCUUUAAAAAGAAUAAAAUAGAAUUUGGUUUUGUAAAGUGUCUUGAGAAUAAGAAACCUAUAAAAGGGCUAAAACAGCAAACAAAAAAGCUUGACCAUUUGUGAUGAGGUUUGUGGAGGAGGUCAGUGGCUGUGAGGUUCAGAAUAAGCUGAAGGGGCUAAAGCCAGCUUCUAAUUUAGCCAAAGCAAAUAAAUGGGAAAAUAAGAAAAUGCGUUGGCAUUGGAGUUAAGUGGCCAUUCUGUAUGUUAGAUUGGAGAGCUAUGAAUGCUCAGAUUAGCCUGAGUUGUUGAGCAACUGAUAGUCUGGCAACUUUAACCCCCCCGCAGCCCACCGCUCGCCCAAUGAAUGCUGGAGAGGCAGAAGCAUCUCACCCUCCUGGACUUCAGGGUUUCAGUGAUUUAGAUAAUGAAUGGAAAGAUGCAGCAGUUCGCACCACUAACUGAAAGGUUAGCAGCGCUAACACUAAGGAGCUAAUUAUAAACAUUAGCUCCACUAAUGCUAAGUAGUUAUACUAACGUGAUAUUUAUGGAAACUAAUUCUAAAGCAUCAAAUACAACCAUCACAAGACUAACACAAAGGCUCUGAAAUGUUCAUUUCUGCUUAUAAAGUGCUAAACAGACAUUGUAUUUAUCUGAUGCUAAUGCUAAAAUGGAAUACCAACAUUGUAUUUAGCAGGAGCUAUACUAGAGUGCUAUAUCAACAUGGUGUUUAGUAGAAGCUAGUGCUAAAUUACAAAACCAACCUUGUAUUUAGAAAAUAUGAAUACUAAAGUGCUAUAUUAAGAUUAUAUUAAGAUUAUGCUAAAGCGCUAUAUUAACAAGGCAUUUAGCUAGAGCUAAAGCGCUACACCAACAAAUGUAUUUAGCUGGAGCUAAUGCUUAAUGAUUAUGUAAACAAGGUAUUUAGCAGACGCUAAUGCUAAAGCUCUAAAUUCAACCAUGUUGCCCAGGAGAACAGGAAGAGGCUCUGAAAACAAUUCAUAUACAGUAUGUACAUGUUUGAAUGUAUUUGUAUAAAAGUAACACCCAACUGUUCAGUGAAGUGUUGAAUUCUUCUGUAUUCAUUAUUCGCUCGUUUGUUGUAAACAGUUGGGGUGGAAAAUGUUUGUGUUUAGUAAAUAUUUGCGCGUUUUGAUUCAAGAACCACAUUGAUGUAAAACCUGAACUUCUUUGAUUAAUCACAGCAAAUCCAAUUAACUGAGUCUUAUAAAAAAUAUAUACAAACAUCACCAACCAAUAAACAACCAUCUAAAGUGUAAGCAGUGAGUCGUAAAGACCAAGAGGAGAUGACUGAGUUGUUGCUGCAACUUGAUCUUCAUGGUGAUUUUGCAGCAGUUGUUCGCUGUUUCCAGGACAGCUGCUCACACAGGACAGGAAGUUUCCAUCCUCAGCUGGACUUAAAUUUAGUGCUUAGUCAUUUCACGUGAUGAACACGACCAGAACAACAGCUCGACAAAUUUAAAAGGAACAAUCAGGCAUUAAGCCAGAAACAAUUCCACUUGGCCUGGGUUAAACUACGCAGUUAUCUUCUGUUCACUCUGUUCCCCACAUAUUGUAUUUUAAACAUAGUUUUAGCCAAAAAGUAACAACUCUUGAUGUAAUAAAAUUUUUACAUACAUUAAAAAGCCUCUCAUAUAUUUCAUAGCUGACCUGGGGUUGGAUCAUUGUUCAUCACAGCAUGACCAGAGUAUUAUCACGUCCAGUGUGUUGGGUUGGCUUUGAAACAAGGACAGAUGAAGGAUCAACAUUCCAGCGCCUGGAUUUAAGGAGGAAACAUGCCUUACAUUUUACACUCUUACCUGGUUUUUCCCACACCAGUCACGGUUUAUCCUUGUUAUGUAAAAUAAAAACACAAACUGAUGCGAGGGAACUCCCAGGAAAGAAAUGAAAGUUUUAUAUUUCAGCUGUCUCUGAAUUCCCAUCUUACUCUGGAAAAGUCCGUCUCCUCCCGGUUUCCGUCCGACUCCUGUUUUAGCAAUCAUCCUCCUGUUGUUUCAUUGGACAUGACUAAAUUUAGUGGUGACACCGGAUUUUGACAGGCUGUUUUACAUGCACUAAAUCCUCAGCUAAAUAUAUGCAUCAACAUCAAUUAUGCAAAGAAAAAAACAGCAAGUGAUGUUCAUACACAUCAGUUCAAGCCUUUCUUUCUGUUAUUUAUGAUUUUCCACUUAGAGCUAAUUAAAACAUGACCAUUGAGGUUAUAGUAUCACAUCUGAUCAAUACAAACUGUUUUUAAUAACAAUAAUUGUGCUUUUACAUGUCUUUCAAAAUUGUUUUUCCUACAGUUGCAUUUUUAUGGUGCAUUCAAGUACAUCGCUUGCAUUGGAUUAUCUAAACAUCAAAACACCUUAAAAGUGAUGUAUACAUUUUUAUUCUCAAAUGUCUGCACAGUCUUGUUUAAAAAACAUUUUUUAUUUGUUUCUAAUUAUUAAAGGAACCAAAAACCUUGACUUUAUUUUUUUUGUGUUACUACUCUAAUAUAUACAAAGUUAAACUGCUUAAUGUAAUUUGGUAAAAAUCUGUCCAAUAAUAAACAGACGCCUGUUUUAUCGACAUCAA